rnacentral:rRNA from 1 species
AGUGAACGCUGGCGGUAGGCCUAACACAUGCAAGUCGAACGGCAGCACAGUAAGCGCUUGCUCUUACGGGUGGCGAGUGGCGGACGGGUGAGGAAUACAUCGGAAUCUACUUUUUCGUGGGGGAUAACGUAGGGAAACUUACGCUAAUACCGCAUACGACCUACGGGUGAAAGCAGUGGAUCUUCGGACCUUGCGCGAUUGAAUGAGCCGAUGUCGGAUUAGCUAGUUGGCGGGGUAAAGGCCCACCAAGGCGACGAUCCGUAGCUGGUCUGAGAGGAUGAUCAGCCACACUGGAACUGAGACACGGUCCAGACUCCUACGGGAGGCAGCAGUAGGGAAUAUUGGACAAUGGGCGCAAGCCUGAUCCAGCCAUACCGCGUGAGUGAAGAAGGCCUUCGGGUUGUAAAGCCCUUUUGUUGGGAAAGAAAAGCAGCAGGUUAAUACCCCGCUGUUCUGACGGUACCCAAAGAGUAAGCACCGGCUAACUUCGUG